rnacentral:rRNA from 1 species
GGACUACUGGGGUUUCUAAUCCUGUUUGCUACCCACGCUUUCGCGCCUCAGCGUCAGUUGAUGACCAGUUUGCUGCCUUCGCCAUGGGUGUUCCUCCUGAUAUCAACGCAUUUCACCGCUACACCAGGAAUUCCACAAACCUCUUCAUCACUCCAGCUCGCCAGUAUGUAAAGCAGUUUCCGGGUUGAGCCCUGGAGAUUUCACUUCACACUUAACGAGCCGCCUACGCGCUCUUUACGCCCAGUAAAUCCGGACAACGCUUGGACCCUACGUCUUACCGCGGCGGCUGGCAC